UUGGCCCCGGCCUAAGUUCCUUGGAACAGGACGUCACAGAGGGUGAGAAUCCCGUACGUGGCCGGUCGCCUUCGCCUUGUAAUGCCCCUUCGACGAGUCGAGUUGUUUGGGAAUGCAGCUCUAAAUGGGAGGUAAAUUUCUUCUAAAGCUAAAUAUUGGCCAGAGACCGAUAGCGCACAAGUAGAGUGAUCGAAAGAUGAAAAGCACUUUGGAAAGAGAGUCAAAAAGCACGUGAAAUUGUUGAAAGGGAAGCGCUUGCAGCCAGACUUGCCUGUAGUUGCUCAUCCGGGCUCUUGCCUGGUGCACUCUUCUACUGGCAGGCCAGCAUCAGUUUGGGCGGCCGGACAAAGGCCCUAGGAACGUAGCUCCCCCCGGGGAGUGUUAUAGCCUAGGGCGUCAUGCGGCCAGCCUGGACUGAGGUCCGCGCUUCGGCUAGGAUGCUGGCGUAAUGGCUGUAAGCGGCCCGUCUUGAAACACGGACCAAGGAGUCUAACAUCUAUGCGAGUGUUUGGGUGUCAAGCCCGGGCGCGUAAUGAAAGUGAACGGAGGUGGGAACCCCUUGGGGUGCACCAUCGACCGAUCCUGAUGUCUUCGGAUGGAUUUGAGUAAGAGCAUAGCUGUUGGGACCCGAAAGAUGGUGAACUAUGCCUGAAUAGGGUGAAGCCAGAGGAAACUCUGGUGGAGGCUCGCAGCGGUUCUGACGUGCAAAUCGAUCGUCAAAUUUGGGCAUAGGGGCGAAAGACUAAUCG
rnacentral:rRNA from 1 species